rnacentral:lncRNA from 1 species
CUUCGCCGUCGUCUAUAACGUGUGUUCCUUGGAAAGUUAUGUACUUGAGAAUCUCCAGAAGUAUGGAGCUCUUCAGAAGUGAAAAUGCAGAAAUUCAUCGUUCCUUUGGUGCAUCCAAACCAGGAUAGCAGCAUGCAUAUAGCCAUACCAUGGUUAGAAUUGGAUGGUGUUGGUCUGAUCUGUGAUAAUGGAUCUUACUCUGGACAGAAACGGUGGCAGAGGUCUUCAAGGAUCAUAUGGUACUUUCCUAUACCUUGAUGCUGCAGAAGGUAAUAGUUGUCGAUCAUGACUUGGUUGAGCAGAGGCCUGUUAUGGUCAAGAAGUUGCUGUAAAUUGCUUCAGGAACAAGAAAAAUGGGAAAAAUAUGGAUUGCAGCUUUCAAAAGUGAAUUCUUUGAUUUCAAUGAAAUAUCUGAUAUUUCUUUGUGCUGAAGAUUUCCUUCUUCAGGACUGAAUGCUACAAGAAAUGAGCUGCAGACAGCUUCUUGAUAAGAUAGGUCUGUCCAUAUGGACAUGGUUGUGUACAGUAGCAGCUUCCCUAUGAGUAGCUGGGAUUGGGGCUGUAUUCAUGUUGAGUUGUGCAGGGUUUCAGCUGUGAUGGAUUCAAGUGCUGGACCUUGCAAAAGAAACUGUUUGAUGCAGUGAUGAAACUGCAGAACUAUUGCUAGCAUCCAGGAAGGUAAAUGGCAAUUAAGAGUACCCUCUUACCAAAGGGAGCUGGUUUCAUUGUUGGUUUAGGUGGUGGAUAUGGCAGAACCUCAUGUUGACAGACAAGUUGCCCGUUGUUGAUCCUGCUUUUACAUUGUUGAAGUUCUCAAGAUUGAGUCAGUUGAACAGAGGCAUUUUAUGGUCUCGUGGAAGUUGCAGGAAAUUAAGGUCAUGUCAAGAUUGGAAAGCACAGGUUCAAGGGUUCCAGUGGUGAGGGAUUAGUGUUCUUCCUUGAAACUACCUGAUGCAGCAAAACUUGAACAUCCAGGAAUGUGGAAGGCCUUUAGGGACCUGAACAUAGAACCCAUGCUGAGGGGAGACCUUCUUUACUGGUGAAUGUAGUGGAUAUAAGGCCGGCAGUUC